AUUGAACGCUGGCGGCAGGCCUAACACAUGCAAGUCGUACGAGUGGCGGACGGGUGAGUAAUGUCUGGGAAACUGCCCGAUGGAGGGGGAUAACUACUGGAAACGGUAGCUAAUACCGCAUACCAUCGGAUGUGCCCAGAUGGGAUUAGCUAGUAGGUGGGGUAACGGCUCACCUGGGCGCCGAUCCCUAGCUGGUCUGAGAGUAUGACCAGCAGCACUGGAAGUGGGACACGGUCCAGGGUCCUACGGGAGGCACGGCUGGGGAGUAUUGCACAAUGGGCGCAAGCCGUGUGCAGCCAUGCCGCGUGUAGGAAGAAGGCCUUCGGGUUGUAAAGUACUUUCAGCAAGGAGGAGUCACUCGCAGAAGAAGCACCGGCUAACUCCGUGCCAGCAGCCGCGGUAAUAC
rnacentral:rRNA from 1 species